rnacentral:rRNA from 1 species
ACUCCUACGGGAGGCAGCAGUAGGGAAUCUUCCACAAUGGGCGCAAGCCUGAUGGAGCAACACCGCGUGAGUGAAGAGGGGUUUCGGCUCGUAAAGCUCUGUUGUUAAAGAAGAACACGUAUGAGAGUAACUGUUCAUACGUUGACGGUAUUUAACCAGAAAGUCACGGCUAACUACGUGCCAGCAGCCGCGGUAAUACGUAGGUGGCAAGCGUUAUCCGGAUUUAUUGGGCGUAAAGAGAGUGCAGGCGGUUUUCUAAGUCUGAUGUGAAAGCCUUCGGCUUAACCGGAGAAGUGCAUCGGAAACUGGAUAACUUGAGUGCAGAAGAGGGUAGUGGAACUCCAUGUGUAGCGGUGGAAUGCGUAGAUAUAUGGAAGAACACCAGUGGCGAAGGCGGCUACCUGGUCUGCAACUGACGCUGAGACUCGAAAGCAUGGGUAGCGAACAGGAUUAGAUACCCUGGUAGGAUAGCG